GACGAACGCUGGCGGCGUGCCUAAUACAUGCAAGUUGAGCGCUGAAGGUUGGUACUUGUCCCGACUGGGUGAGCAGCGAACGGGUGAGUAACGCGUGGGUAAUCUGCCUUUGAGCGGGGGACAACAUUUGGAAACGAAUGCUAAUACCGCAUAAAAACUUUAAACACAAGUUUUAAGUUUGAAAGAUGCAAUUGCAUCACUCAAAGAUGAUCCCGCGUUGUAUUAGCUAGUUGGUGAGGUAAAGGCUCACCAAGGCGAUGAUACAUAGCCGACCUGAGAGGUGGAUCGGCCACUCUGGAACUGAGACACGGUCCAGACUCCUACGGGAGGCAGCAGAAGGGAAUCUUCGGCAAUGGGCGAAGUCCGGACGGGGCAAGGCGGCGGGAGUGAGGAAGGUUUCCGGAUCUAAAAAUCCUGUGAUAAGGGAGGAACAAGGGUGGAAGGAAAUAUGCACGUCGUGACGGUACCUACUCAGAAAGCGACGGCUAACUACGUG
rnacentral:rRNA from 1 species